UGGGGAAUAUUGCACAAUGGGCGCAAGCCUGAUGCAGCCAUGCCGCGUGUGUGAAGAAGGCCUUCGGGUUGUAAAGCACUUUCAGCGAGGAGGAAGGGUGGUGUGUUAAUAGCACAUUGCAUUGACGUUACUCGCAGAAGAAGCACCGGCUAACUCCGUGCCAGCAGCCGCGGUAAUACGGAGGGGGCAAGCGUUAAUCGGAAUUACUGGGCGUAAAGCGCACGCAGGCGGUUUGUUAAGUCAGAUGUGAAAUCCCCGCGCUUAACGUGGGAACUGCAUUUGAAACUGGCAAGCUAGAGUCUUGUAGAGGGGGGUAGAAUUCCAGGUGUAGCGGUGAAAUGCGUAGAGAUCUGGAGGAAUACCGGUGGCGAAGGCGGCCCCCUGGACAAAGACUGACGCUCAGGUGCGAAAGCGUGGGGAGCAAACA
rnacentral:rRNA from 1 species